rnacentral:rRNA from 1 species
GACGAACGCUGGCGGCGUGCCUAAUACCUGCAAGUCGAACGCAGUGGGGACGGGUGAGUAACACGUGGGUAACCUCCCAUCAGAGGGGAUAACACUUGGAAACAGGUGCUAAACCGAUACUGAUGGAUGGACCCGCGGUGCAUUAGCUAGUUGGUGAGGUAACGGCUCACCAAGGCCACGAUGCAUAGGCGACCUGAGAGAGGGAUCGGCCACACUGGGACUGGGCCACGGCCCAAACUCCUGCGGGAGGCAGCAGUAGGGAAUCUGCGGCAAUGGACGAAAGUCUGACCGGGCAAGGCCGCGUAGGUGAAGAGGGUUUUCGGAUCGAAAGACGCUGUUGUUAGAGAAGCGGUAUCUAACCAGAAAGCCACGGCUAACUACGUGCCAGCCGCCGCGGUAAUAC